UACAGAGGUCUCAAGCGUUGUUCGGAUUCAUUGGGCGUAAAGGGUGUGUAGGUGGCGCCGUAAGUCGGGUGUGAAAUUUCGGAGCUUAACUCCGAAACUGCAUUCGAUACUGCGGUGCUUGAGGACUGGAGAGGAGACUGGAAUUCAUGGUGUAGCAGUGAAAUGCGUAGAGAUCAUGAGGAAGACCAGUGGCGAAGGCGGGUCUCUGGACAGUUCCUGACGCUGAGGCACGAAGGCCAGGGGGAGCAAACGGG
rnacentral:rRNA from 1 species